CGUAGAGCUUCAGUUGCUCUCAGGAACUGAACGUGUGAGGGUAUUACACUUGUGCUCUCUCCUACCACUACCCAUGUACCCUCGCUAGUGUAAUCCUGUCUCGCUCACUUGAAGUAAAGGUAGUCUCAAUUAUUCCACUGAGUUGGCUGACAUAAAAGGAAUUGUGAAAUACGUCUAUGGCUUCCAGUGAGUGACGGUUGAGAAAAAUCACUUCCAAUACGCUAGUUUUCCUACUUAACUCAGCGAGUAUAUACAACUGACAGCUGCUCAAUUCAGCCAACAGACAGCACUGACAGUUUCUUCUCUUUAAUCUUUGCCAGCGUGAGAGAUGAAGACCCAAGAGUACGGGAACUUAGGACAAACUGACAGCAGGCAGAGGCCAGCCUGCUGUCAGUCUACUGCUGAUGCCAGCCAGCUGUCGAUCUACUGCUGAUGCCAGCCAGCUGUCGAUCUACCGCUGAUGCCAGCCUGCUGUCAGUCUAUGGCUGAUGCCAGCCUGCUGUCAGUCUACGGCUGAUGCCAGCCUGCUGUCAGUCUACGGCUGAUGCCAGCCUGCUGUCAGUCUACGGCUGAUGCCAGCCUGCUGUCAGUCUAUGGUUGAUACCAUCAUUUCGCUACCUUGUUGCAGGCCAACACUUACAUUGUUACUGUCAGUGUAUUCAUCAGAGAAAAACAGCUGAUGCGGAACUAGUUCAUCUGAUGACCCGUUCAGUGACUCCAUCACACAACAUCUAAGAACAGAAAAACGUGUCAUUGUUUAAACAAUCACGUCCGUGAUCAAGGUCACCAAGGGCGCAGGUUUAGGUAGUGUAUGUGAUCAGGUACCGUGUUUUCUGUACCGCUGGAAUUCCUAGGCCUUUAGUGUAUCCAUAAAUUCUUGCUGCUUUCCACAGGAUGGUUAUGGGGUGCACAAUAAUCUAGCUACUGCCGUCCACAGGAUGGUUAUGGGGUGCACAAUAAACUAGCCGCUACCAUCCACAGGAUGGACGGCAGACUAACUUAUUGUGCAGUUUUUUAAAAAAAAAAAAGACAAGUGUCUUAUCUGAAUGUAAUGUACACAAAGUGUACAUCCUGUUUUUUUUUUAAUCUUUAAACUGGUGUGUGUACUCACCUAGUUGAGGUUGCGGGGGUCGAGUCCGAGCUCCUGGCCCCGCCUCUUCACUGAUCGCUACUAGGUCACUCUCCCUGAGCCGUGAGCUUUAUCAUACCUCUGCUUAAAGCUAUGUAUGGAUCCUGCCUCCACUACAUCACUUCCCAAACUAUUCCACUUACUGACUACUCUGUGGCUGAAGAAAUACUUCCUAACAUCCCUGUGAUUCAUCUGUGUCUUCAGCUUCCAACUGUGUCCCCUUGUUACUGUGUCCAAUCUCUGGAACAUCCUGUCUUUGUCCACCUUGUCAAUUCCUCUCAGUAUUUUGUAUGUCGUUAUCAUGUCCCCCCUAUCUCUCCUGUCCUCCAGUGUCGUCAGGUUGAUUUCCCUUAACCUCUCCUCGUAGGACAUACCUCUUAGCUCUGGAACUAGUCUUGUUGCAAACCUUUGCACUUUCUCUAGUUUCUUCACGUGCUUGGCUAGGUGUGGGUUCCAAACUGGUGCCGCAUACUCCAAUAUGGGCCUAACAUACACGGUGUACAGGGUCCUGAAUGAUUCCUUAUUAAGAUGUCGGAAUGCUGUUCUGAGGUUUGCUAGGCGCCCAUAUGCUGCAGCAGUUAUUUGGUUGAUGUGCGCUUCAGGAGAUGUGCCUGGUGUUAUACUCACCCCAAGAUCUUUUUCCUUGAGUGAGGUUUGUAGUCUCUGGCCCCCUAGACUGUACUCCGUCUGCGGUCUUCUUUGCCCUUCCCCAAUCUUCAUGACUUUGCACUUGGUGGGAUUGAACUCCAGGAGCCAAUUGCUGGACCAGGUCUGCAGCCUGUGUGUGUGUGUGUGUGUGUGUGUGUGUGUGUGUGUGUGUGUGUGUGUGUGUGUGUGUUUGUGUGUGUGUGUGUGUGUGUGUGUGUGUGUGUGUGUGUGUGUGUGUGUGUGUGUGUGUGUGUGUGUGUUUACUCAUUUGUACACACCUAUGUGUGGUUCGAUUUUGGAUUACAAGUCAGUUCUUGUCCACACUUUUUAACCUCGUACACCUGGUUUGGCAGAGCUUCCAGCGUGACGUAUCCACCCUCAAAACUGCGUAUGAUAUGUGUGUGUGUGUGAUUUAUAUUUGCAUGCGCGUGUGGUUUUGCGCGCCGUCUGUGUGUAUGGUAGUGUAAAAAAAAUGGCAUAUCAGCCUUGAGUGAGCUGAUGGUUGAGUGCAAAAGUGUGUCAGGUCCCACACUCGUCACUCUUCUACCAUUCCUCAUUCCCGAUACCUUUGUCCCUGUGUUCAGAGUCUCCCUCACCUUCACUCUCACAUUCACCCUCACCUUCACUCCCUCGUAUGCACUCCUACCACCACUUCACUCCCAUAUGCUUCAUCACCUUCACUCCCAUAUAUGUCAUCACCUUCACUCCCAUAUAAACUGUCAUCUUCACUCACUUAUAAAACUCACGAUGGAAAAGUAGAAACAAAUGCAGUAUAAGGCUAUCCUUUGUUGACAACGUUUCGCACACACAAUGGGUUUUAUCAAGUCACAAACAGAUCUGAGCUCUGCUCAGACCUGAGUACGUGAGUACAUAUACUGAGCAAAAUGACGUGAAGGGCCUGGUGAGGCAUGCUGAAGGCUGAGAAUAUACCUUGAGGUAUAUACUACUCGUUUUAUAUACCUUGUUAUACCUGUGGACGUUUUAUCAAGAGAUGAAUUGGGCUCCCUGGUUGGCCGAGAGACUGAUACUGCCUUGGAUGGUGCCAGACCAGUGGUCAUCACUGCCUCAAUCAACACGUUAUAUUGACACUGCUGUCCAUGCACACGGAUGUCUGCUGGCGUCAGUGCCCUAUCAGGGCUAACCUGACCGUGAAUGUCAUCCUUGUGUACGUUGUUGAAUGGGGUUUAAGGCCUGUCUACUGCACGAGUGCCAUUGAGGCUCCGUGUCACCUGUUCACCACCUAAAUAAAGGACUAAACUCUCAGUAUAUAUACCCUAACAGGCAUACAUUUAUACACAUCUAGGUGUGUAUAUCCUGUUGUCACGUUAGGGCCCUUGUUUAGAGUCAUCAUUACCAGAAAAGAUAAUACUUACCUCGAGUUUCCUGCUGUUCAGUGUUGCUACGUAUAUACCUUGUAGCUGUGCAUAUGCUCCAUUGUUUCUUUGUAUAUUCUCUUUGUAGCUAAGUAUAUGUUCCUUGAAGCUAAGUAUAUGUUCCUUGAAGCUCAGUAUAUGUUCCGUGUAGCUAAGCGUAUGUUGCCUAUAGGUAGGUACAUUAGGGCCGGGGAAGAGGGGUCCGAUUCCUUCCUCAGCUAAAUUGUUCUGAAGUCUUGGUACUGGAACCCAUCCAAGGAAGGAUUCCUGAUGCUGGUAAUGGACUUUUCAUCCAGCGAAUUGGAACCGACAUUCCUUGGAUCGGACCCGAUAAUAAUAAUAAUAAUAAUGGUAUUGGAAACUCGCGACAUGCGUCAAUUCAAUAUUUUUGUUUACGUGUAAUUUUGCGAGUUCUGUAAGAGGGUUCGUGGUUAUCGUAGUUAGACAUUACGAAAGGAUUUACCAAGGGGUUGUGGAUUUCGAAGGGAUUCACUCUUGUUUGGGCUGUAAACAAAAAAAAAAUCCUUCUCCAACUAAAAUACCCCCAUUAUUUCACUGGUAAUCACAACGAAAGUAAAA